rnacentral:rRNA from 1 species
CCUACGGGAGGCUGCAGUAAGGAAUAUUGGUCAAUGGACGCAAGUCUGAACCAGCCAUGCCGCGUGGAGGAUUAAGGCCCUUGGGUUGUAAACUCCUUUUAUCUGGGAAGCGGUACCAGAGGAAUAAGCACCGGCUAACUCCGUGCCAGCAGCCGCGGUAAUACGGAGGGUGCAAGCGUUAUCCGGAUUCACUGGGUUUAAAGGGUGCGUAGGCGGGCAGGUAAGUCCGUGGUGAAAUCUCUGAGCUUAACUCAGAAACUGCCAUGGAUACUAUUUGUCUUGAAUGUUGUGGAGGUAAGCGGAAUAUGUCAUGUAGCGGUGAAAUGCUUAGAUAUGACAUAGAACACCAAUUGCGAAGGCAGCUUACUACACAAAAUUGACGCUGAGGCACGAAAGCGUGGGGAUCAAACAGGAUUAGAUACCCUUGUAGUC